rnacentral:misc_RNA from 1 species
CUCAAAAUUCAUCGACAGACUGAUGUCGUAUAUUAAUAUUCCCGCCCCUCUUUAAUAAACAGACACCUUUAGUACUACAUGGGAAAAAUUUAAGAAGCCAGUUUUUAUAAAAUCAAAGCCAAUUACACCUACACACAGUCGAUGAGGAUGAGUAGGGUUGAGAUAUAAAUACGAGUAGACAGUUCAUUUUCAUUUUAGUGUUGUAAGAGACUUGUGGUAUAAAAAAAUUCGUCAUAACAUAUUACUAUUAUUUUUAAAUUAAAAAUAUUUUUUUCUGCUAAUAUCAAAAAACGACACUUCCGAAGACAAAAUAUCGAUUGCCUGACUCAAAGGAUAGGCGACAUGAGUCCAUUUUCAAAACUGUGAUAAUAAUGUCAUUUUAGCAGCAGCAAAAUUGUGUUUUGCCUAGAGCACCAUUUUCGCUUGAGCCGGCCCUAAUUCUUUCUCGUUUCACGUAUAAUGUUAUAUCAGACGUAUAUUUUCUCCGUUGCGAAUUCCGAUUCGGCCAUUAGACUUGCGACUCUGUACUCAUGCCUUAUGGUGAAAAUUGAACUCAUGGUGAUCAUCGCGACAUCGCCGACAUCGCCGACUGCCUGAGAUCUGCAAGACUGGACCAGUCUUCACCAGCCUUCCAGCAACCAUUACAUGUGGAAAGUCUGGUGUAUGAUUGUAAUAUGUGUGGCCGUGUGGGUAGCCAGUGGCCAGUUUGUUCAAUAUUGCAUUGCGCUCCGGACCAGCCAAGCUUUAUCAUCAUUCAUCACCAUUGGACAGACUUUCGUAUAUAGAAUAAGUUAGUUGUAAGGUAUUGUCCGACUUUUGUGUAACGCCGCGAUACCAUCACAAGCAGCUCUAAUCUAACCAAACAACAUCGUUCUAUUUCCGGUUUUAUAUAGAGCCGGGCUCUUUGGUCUCUUCGAAUUUGCAUUAUCGUUGAAACUCUGGUUGAAACAAUCCCGACGAGACUAAGAUUNAAUUAAAAUUUCGGUAUCUAUACGUAAAUCGGAUAAAAUACAUAUUACUAUAUUAAUAUUCAUAGAUUAGUAUAGUCGUACUAUUUACAGCUUAGCAAAACUUCACUGAACGUUUGAACAAAAAUAUUCGUAUAAUUAUAAUAUAUCAUGGUAUAAUACGGCCGGNAUCGAAGUACACGCGAACGGCACUAGAUAUAGGCAAAAACUAUGAGCCGAUAAUCCAAAUUUGCGUCACAAUGUAAGACGUACAGUGUUUGAAUAUAAAUUAAUAUGUUUGAUUAUUGUGAAAAUGUGGAUCGUCGAGUCAAACGUGAUUCAAAGCAGAACAUUUUUGGAUACAUAAGAAUCGAAUUUUGGACGAGUAAAUCAAAAUUAUGAGUUUUAUAAUGUCUUAGGUAGGAGUUAUAAUAUUAUGAUUAUUUAAUAUUCGAAUUAGUGGAGUACGGGGCGUGUGUCGUGUAGUGUGUACGUAGGCGUACCCCAAAAAAUGUUCAAUUGGUGGUCUCACUCAGUACUACAUCGCUCAUCUGAAUUUUAAAUACUUAUAACAGAACAAAAUACUUAUAGCACUAAAAAAUCAUAUAAUAUACAAUCAUGUAUCCAUUGAGGAUAUGCAACUAAAAGAAAUUUUUUAAUUAUAAAAAUACAUAAAUAAAUUAGAAUAACAAUCAGAGGCGUACUCAGGAGUUUUCAAUGGUGGGGGGGGGGUUGAACAUUUUGUAUUUUAUUACUGGGACUUUGUCACCUUCUUUUUAAAAAUAUUCUUAUUUACCUAUCUAAUCUUACAGUUCUUAACAGAUAAUGCAUGCAAUCGUUGUAUAUUGAUUGUUGACAUACGAUUUAAAAUAGAUAUAUUUUGUUUAUUUUUUCCCUUUAAAAAAAAAUUUUUAUUAGAAAAUUGCUCUUGUGAGUUAUAUUAUAUAUAAGCACUAACGCAUAAGACUACACAGGUUAGUGAGGUCAUGGGGGAGGUUCAAACCCCACGACCCCCCCCCCUUGAGUACACCCCUGAUAACAAUUACCUUCAUAAUUCAAUUACGUAUUAUAACAUGGCCGCCGUAGCGCCCGUAGCCAUAUAAAUGAUACACAGUUUAGUCCUAAUGAAACUUUUACUUAUCGAAGAACUGUACAAAAAUAAAAUAAAUCACAAACAGAACGCGAAGACGACCGUUUAGUAACACACCGAAUGUGAAAUGCGAAUAAAUCGAGUACCUCUAACCACAGACAUAAAAUAUAGUAGUAAGCGCUGUAAUUGUCUUUGUCUGUCUGACCACUGGUGAUUCGUAGGUAUCAGAGGUAUCAGUUGUUAUUUUGUGCCAUGACAAUAAUUAUUUAUUUACAAAUAAAAUUAAUAAACGAAAAUUAAUCUGAUUGUCUAACAGGCCAAGCGCUUCCAGAAAACAAGUAGGCACAUAAUAUUAUAAUAUUAUAUAAAGAAUAAAAAUAAAUUUAAUUUAAACAAAAAUUAUAUGAAAACAUAAUAAUUUAAAUUUAUAAAGGUCGCCACACAGCAGGGGUGGCGAUAAAAUUCUUUUGUCUUGAUAGUUCUGGUAAAAUUGUGUCCAGGCUACAUUUUGCUGUAACCGCUGCUGUUGCCGCCACCGCUGCAGACUGUAGGGAUUGGGGCCCUUAAAAAAUUAUUAUUUGUAUUUAGAAAUUUCUUAUUUUGAUAUGAUUUAAUCAUACUAUUGUCUGAUCAUACCAAAUUAUAACAUAAUUAAUUAAAAUAUUAAAAAUGAAAAUAAUAUGCCAUAAGAGCAACAAAACCUACUCAAAAUAUGCAUUUAUAUGCAGAAUACAAUUACUAAUCUAGCUUUGUUUUAACAUUAAACGUAUUUUUAAUACGUAUAGGUAAUCUCAUAUUUUUGUGAUUGUUUAAAACAAAUAUGCAAAUNCUAAAAGUCCUCUACCGACUCUACCCUACCCAAAACUUAUGAACAACUAGUCAAUACUUAAGUAAUNUUCAUAAUUCUUAAUAUACAUACAAUAGGUACCUAACGUUAUUGUAGAUUUGUAUNCGAUAUAUUUAUCAUUGUAACCUUUAGGGUUAUNAAGUAUUAAAUAUGUGAUCCGAAAUAUUAAAUUAAUUAAAUUUUUUUAUGAACACGUGUAUGUUAUCAGUGGCGUGUCCAGGUGGGGAGGGGAGUUAGGAUGUAAAUCCCCUCCUAUUGUCGAAUAAAUCCUCUUGUUUGUGCCUUUGGUACUAGAACAGUAUAGAACCACAAUUAAUUUAUAUGUAUUAUUANUCUGGGGUUAGGAUUUUUUAGCAUUUGCAUAUUUCUUGAAAAAUGUUUAAAAAAUAGCAGANUAAACUAGUUCGUUUCGUAA